AGUUGGCUCACAUGAUUCCAGGACUGGAUGUCAUAAUAACUCUCAACCAGAAGGUGAAAAGAGCAGAGUGAGGCUAAUGCUGUCUGGUUAAAAAGCAGCAGUCACCCACAUGAGCCAGAGGAGAGGGAUGCUCAGUCACGUUUGUGGUCAGACAUCCUGGCACAGCCCAGCUGGGUCCUCCGCUUUGGGUCUCACCACACUAUAGUCAAGCAUCAGGUGGGGUCGUGGUCUCAUCAGAGGCCCAAGUGGGGAAAGAUCACCUUCCAAGCCUUCUCAUUUUGUUUGGCCGGGCUUACAGGACGGAAGUCCCCACCUUGCUGCUGUUUGUCACCUGGGACCACUCUCAGCUCCUAGAGGCUGCACAGUUCCCUGCCACAUGGUCUUUCUGCAGGCGGUCCCACAAAAAGGCAGCUCACUUCUUCAAAGGCAGCAAGGGAGAGUCUCUCUUCCUCAAACUCUUACAUCACCUAUAACCUUGGAUAUGACAGCCCAUCACCUCUGCCAUAUUGUCGUCCAAAAGUAAGUCACAAACCCCACUCACAUUCAAAAGGUGGAGAUUAUAUAGGACACCAAUCAUUGGACAGGGGGUCACCCUAUGGUAUGUCUGCUACAUUAUCUAAGACUAUAUUAAACAUGUGUAUGAAUCCUUCCAUUUCUUAAGCAUUUAGAAAUUGCAAAAAGAAUAAACAGAAAAUGCAGAUGACAUGAAUAAAUCCAAAGAAGAAAAUAAAAUCAUUCCUGGCUAUUACUAUUUCUACCAUGAAGAGAUGAUCACUUACAACACUUGAAUGUCGCAGACUGAGGACUCUUCAGAAAAAGUCUGGGACCAAACAGGUUCUUGUAGGGCACAGAGAGGAGGCUCCAUCUUGACUGGUGAGAGAGAAGCUUCUGGAGCUCCUUCUUCCCCUGCUAGUGGAGGCCAUUGGUCAACUGGGCCAGUAGAGCCCCCAGUGAUGUGACAUUUUUGAAUUUUUGAUUAUUACACCGUUCGGGAUGGAGAAGUGCUACUGGAAUUUAGUAGGUGGAGCCUAGGGAUACCAAGGAAAAUCCCAUGACACGCAGAAUCGUCCCGGCUCACACAUCCAUGGUGCCGAGGCUGAGAGCCUGGUCUCAAUCCUCACGUGAGAAUGUGAAGCUGAAGAGGCUGUGGGGUGGUGGAGGACAGUAUUCACAAAGGUGUUCCUUUCUCUCUCAGUCAUACCUCAUGGCUCCGCCCAAUGGAAGUGAAGAGUAAAAGUGACCUAGUCGCAAAGCACCUACUGAACCAUAGCAACCUUGGGGAGACAUCCACAUGCAUUAACAGAUGAGGCAACAAUUGUAAGUGCUGCAGAGCGGGAGAAGAUUUAUUGGGCUUCAAGGAAUUAAAGGAAAAUCAUGUUAUCAAGUGACAGAUCAGGACCAACCAAAGACUAGAGACAGAGCCAGCCUCCUCCGCCGCCUUCUGCCCACGGGAGCAGUGGGGAUGGUCAACCUGGAUUUCUACGUAUACACAUUCUAGAAUGUCUUGUAGGGAGACAUGUCUUUGGGACACUUGGGGCCUAGCACUUGGAGAGAAGUUUACCUCAGUUCUCCUCCCUGGAGUCUGCGAUCAUUUGAAAGUAACAGGAGAAAGUGGUCAGGCCAAGGGAAAGAUCUCAAUGGGGCCAUCAAUGGUAAGGAUGCUAACCAUUCAUUCAUUGUGAAAUCGCGGGGACGGCUACAUGAUGAAGACCUCAGAGGAUCUGGGCACUGAAAAUACCUGGCCUCUGCCCCCUGGAUGCCCCCAGCAGCCCUUUCCAGUGGUGACGACCCACGUUGUCUCCAGAUGGGGCCAACUGUCCACCAGGGGCAGACUCACCCAAAGUUGAGAACCGUGGAUUUAAGUGGUUUUAUUUUGUAGGUGUGUUCGCUUACUUGCUUUGCUGAUCAUUAAACAAAGCUGCCUGAACCUC